rnacentral:rRNA from 1 species
GACGAACGCUGGCGGCGUGCUUAACACAUGCAAGUCGAACGGAAAGGCCUGUCCUUCCUUGUGUUGGACGGGUACUCGAGUGGCGAACGGGUGAGUAACACGUGAGUGAUCUGCCCCCAACUUGGGUAUAAGCCUGGGAAACUGGGUCUAAUUCCCGAUAGGACUGCAGGGUGGUGCCUGUGGUGGAAAACGAUUUUCUAGUGGUUGGGGAUGAGCUCGCGGCCUAUCAGCUUGUUGGUGGGGUAAUGGCCUACCAAGGCGGCGACGGGUAGCCGGCCUGGGAGGGUGGACGGCCACAUUGGGACUGGGAUGCGGCCCAGAAUCCUACGGGAGGCAGGAGUUGGGAAUAUUGCACAAUGGGCGGAAGCCUGAUGCAGCGACGCCGCGUGGGGGAUGACGGCCUUCGGGUUGUAAACUCCUUUCGACCGCGAGGAAGCCGCCUGGUUGGAAGGGUGGUGACGGUAGUGGUAGAAGAAGCACCGGCUAACUACGUG